rnacentral:rRNA from 1 species
UACGUAGGGUGCAAGCGUUGUCCGGAAUUAUUGGGCGUAAAGAGCUCGUAGGCGGCUUGUCGCGUCGGCUGUGAAAACCUGGGGCUCAACCCCGGGCCUGCAGCCGAUACGGGCAAGCUAGAAUUCGGUAGGGGAGACUGGAAUUCCUGGUGUAGCGGUGAAAUGCGCAGAUAUCAGGAGAAACACCGGUGGCGAAGGCGGGUCUCUGGGCCGAUAUUGACGCUGAGGAGCGAAAGCAUGGGGAGCGAACAGG